UACGUAGGUGGCAAGCGUUGUCCGGAUUUAUUGGGUUUAAAGGGUGCGUAGGCGGCUUUGUAAGUCAGUGGUGAAAUACUCUAGCUUAACUAGAGGGGUGCCAUUGAUACUGCAGAGCUUGAGUACAGAUGAGGUAGGCGGAAUUGACGGUGUAGCGGUGAAAUGCAUAGAUAUCGUCAAGAACACCGAUAGCGAAGGCAGCUUACUGGGCUGUAACUGACGCUGAUGCACGAAAGCUAGGGGGAGCAAACAGG
rnacentral:rRNA from 1 species